CCUACGGGAGGCAGCAGUGGGGAAUAUUGCGCAAUGCGCGAAAGCGUGACGCAGCGACGCCGCGUGAGGGAUGAAGGUCUUCGGAUCGUAAACCUCUGUCAGCAGGGAAGAAAGGUCACUGUGCUAAUCAGCAGUGAAUUGACGGUACCUGCAAAAGAAGCACCGGCUAACUCCGUGCCAGCAGCCGCGGUAAUACGGAGGGGGCGAGCGUUAAUCGGAAUUACUGGGCGUAAAGCGCUCGUAGGCGGUAUGGUAAGUCAAGGGUGAAAGCCCCGCGCUCAACGUGGGAACUGCCUGUGAAACUGGCAAACUGGAGUGUGUGAGAGGAUAGUGGAAUUCCAGGUGUAGGAGUGAAAUGCGUAGAUAUCUGGAGGAAUAUCAGUGGCGAAGGCGACUAUCUGGCACAUAACUGACGCUGAGGAGCGAAAGCGUGGGUAGCAAACAGGAUUAGAUACCCUGGUAGUC
rnacentral:rRNA from 1 species